CAAAGUGCUCAUAGUGCAGGUAGUUUUUAUACCACUCUACUGCAGUGUGAGCACUUCUAGU
rnacentral:pre_miRNA from 1 species